rnacentral:misc_RNA from 1 species
GAUGAAGAACGCAGCGAAAUGCGAUAAGUAAUGUGAAUUGCAGAAUUCAGUGAAUCAUCGAAUCUUUGAACGCACAUUGCGCCCACUAGUAUUCUGGCGGGCAUGCCUGUCCGAGCGUCAUUUCAACCCUCAAGCCCCCGGGCUUGGUGUUGGGGAUCGGCGAGCCUCCGCGCCCGCCGUCCCCUAAAUCUAGUGGCGGUCUCGCUGUAGCUUCCUCUGCGUAGUAGCACACCUCGCACUGGGAAACAGCGCGGCCACGCCGUUAAACCCCCAACUUCUGAACGUUUGACCUCGGAUCAGGUAGGAAUACCCGCUGAACUUAAGCAUAUCAAUAAGCGGAGGA